rnacentral:misc_RNA from 1 species
GAUGAAGAACGCAGCGAAAUGCGAUAAGUAAUGUGAAUUGCAGAAUUCAGCGAAUCAUCGAAUCUUUGAACGCACAUUGCGCCCGCCAGUAUUCUGGCGGGCAUGCCUGUUCGAGCGUCAUUUCAACCAUCAAGCCCCAGGCUUGUGUUGGGGACCUGCGGCUGCCGCAGGCCCUGAAAACCAGUGGCGGGCUCGCUGUCACACCGGGCGUAGUAGAUUUUAUCUCGCUCAGGGCGUGCUGCGGGUUCCGGCCGUUAAAAAGCCUUUUUUACCCAAGGUUGACCUCGGAUCAGGUAGGAAGACCCGCUGAACUUAAGCAUAUCAAUAAGCGGAGGA